CCUACGGGAGGCAGCAGUGGGGAAUUUUGGACAAUGGGCGCAAGCCUGAUCCAGCAAUGCCGCGUGCAGGAUGAGGGCCUUCGGGUUGUAAACUGCUUUUGUACGGAGCGAAACGGUCUGCUUUAAUACAGUAGGCUAAUGACGGUACCGUAAGAAUAAGCACCGGCUAACUACGUGCCAGCAGCCGCGGUAAUACGUAGGGUGCGAGCGUUAAUCGGAAUUACUGGGCGUAAAGCGUGCGCAGGCGGUUAUAUAAGACAGAUGUGAAAUCCCCGGGCUCAACCUGGGACCUGCAUUUGUGACUGUAUAGCUAGAGUACGGUAGAGGGGGAUGGAAUUCCGCGUGUAGCAGUGAAAUGCGUAGAUAUGCGGAGGAACACCGAUGGCGAAGGCAAUCCCCUGGACCUGUACUGACGCUCAUGCACGAAAGCGUGGGGAGCAAACAGGAUUAGAUACCCUGGUAGUCCACGCCCUAAACGAUGUCAACUGGUUGUUGGGUCUUCACUGACUCAGUAACGAAGCUAACGCGUGAAGUUGACCGCCUGGGGAGUACGGCCGCAAGGUUGAAACUCGAAAGGAAUUGACGG
rnacentral:rRNA from 1 species